UACGGAGGGUGCAAGCGUUAAUCGGAAUUACUGGGCGUAAAGCGUGCGCAGGCGGUUUGUUAAGUCUGUUGUGAAAUCCCCGAGCUCAACUUGGGAAUUGCAAUGGAUACUGGCAGGCUGGAGUAUGGUAGAGGAAGGUGGAAUUCCCGGUGUAGCAGUGAAAUGCGUAGAGAUCGGGAGGAACACCAGUGGCGAAGGCGGCCUUCUGGUCCAAUACUGACGCUCAUGCACGAAAGCGUGGGGAGCAAACAGG
rnacentral:rRNA from 1 species